rnacentral:misc_RNA from 1 species
AAAAAGGGCAGUUUUAUUCAUGUUGUGACAAAGUUUAUUGUCAUAACUUAUUGCAUGGACUAGCAAAAUGUCAAAAGGUGAUGGAUAAUUUUUCCUUAGCAUGAGAAUGAAGAGCAAUAAAUUAAAGGCGGAAAGGUGUCCAUAUAAGAUUUUAGGAGGGUGGAGAGGGGGGUUCCCCACUUGCAUUGCCGAAAACAAAUCCCCUCGGCGGCUUUGGUAUGCGGAGAAGGAUUGAAGUUAUCAUACACAGAGUCCUGUAUGUACCUGGCCUAACUUUUGAUAAUGAACCAUUUUUCACACAUAGGAUCCACUCAGAUGUUGAUCUUGGAAACUUAUAUUUUGACAUGAUGGAUGUUGAUUAUAUUCUCAUAUAAAAAG